GUAAACUUUUAAAGUAGUGCCUUCCCUCAUGGUCUUGGUAUGCCUUUGAUGAGCAAGGAAAGCCUUUCUCUGGAAACCCCCAGCAGACUGCCCUCAGGCUCCUCUGCUAUCACUGCUACGCAUGCCAACAACUAAUGCCAAGCGGGACAUAGUGCUAUGGGCAUCGGCAGAGCAGCUCACUUUUGGUCAGCGUGUUCAGCACCUUGGAAGGCUGAGAUGGGCAAAUCACCUGAGGCCAGGAGUUCAAGACAAGCCUAGUCAACAUGGCAAAACCCCAUCUCCAGUAAAAAUACAAAAGUUAGCUGGGCGUGGUGGCACACACCUGUAA
rnacentral:lncRNA from 1 species